GGUGCAACUCACCUUAUCCAAGCUGGUUUUGAAACAC
rnacentral:sRNA from 1 species